AUUGAACGCUGGCGGCAUGCCUUACACAUGCAAGUCGAACGGCAGCACGGGUGCUUGCACCUGGUGGCGAGUGGCGGACGGGUGAGUAAUACAUCGGAACAUGUCCUGUAGUGGGGGAUAGCCCGGCGGAAGCCGGAUUAAUACCGCAUACGAUCUACGGAUGAAAGCGGGGGACCUUCGGGCCUCGCGCUAUAGGGUUGGCCGAUGGCUGAUUAGCUAGUUGGAGGGGUAAAGGCCUACCAAGGCGACGAUCAGUAGCUGGUCUGAGAGGACGACCAGCCACACUGGGACUGAGACACGGCCCAGACUCCUACGGGAGGCAGCAGUGGGGAAUUUUGGACAAAGGGCGAAAGCCUGAUCCAGCAAUGCCGCGUGUGUGAAGAAGGCCUUCGGGUUGUAAAGCACUUUUGUCCGGAAAGAAAUCCUUGGCUCUAAUACAGUCGGGGGAUGACGGUACCGGAAGAAUAAGCACCGGCUAACUACGUG
rnacentral:rRNA from 1 species